rnacentral:lncRNA from 1 species
UUGUAUUAUUCGUUUAUCUCACUUGUAAUGCUUCUUGUGUAUCCAAUUCCAAGACAAUCAUGUCAACAGUUUUUUUGACAUAUAUUUUUAUUUAUCACAUUAGUUUUUUUUUGCAAAAGAAUAAAAAAAAUUAUCUAAAUUACUACAAACUAAAUACCAGUUUUCAAAGAUAUCAUUAAUGAACAAUAUACUAACAUUUGAGUUUAGGAUUUAGUGAUUAUUAUUUAAGAUUUAGUAUUAAAAGGUUGGGAUUGAAUUUAUAAUUUUUUUAUAAUUAUUUAGAAAAAUUAGUUUAGUGUUAUUUAUUAAAAAAUUAAAUAUUUAUGAAAAAUUACACUACAAGAAAACAUGUCUAUAACGAAGGGUUUAAGAGAAAAUAGUAUAAAUGGGAGAAUGGGGGAAUGGGGUAAAAGGGAUAUGAUGUUAUAGGUAAGAGACUUUGGGGUUUAGGGAUUUGAUUUUCAGGGAUU